UACAGAGGGUGCAAGCGUUAAUCGGAAUUACUGGGCGUAAAGCGCACGUAGGUGGCUAUUUAAGUCGGAUGUGAAAUCCCCGGGCUUAACCUGGGAACUGCAUUCGAUACUGAAUAGCUAGAGUCUGGUAGAGGGUGGUGGAAUUCCAGGUGUAGCGGUGAAAUGCGUAGAUAUCUGGAGGAACAUCAGUGGCGAAGGCGGCCACCUGGACUGAGACUGACACUGAGGUGCGAAAGCGUGGGGAGCAAACAGG
rnacentral:rRNA from 1 species